UUAUGUCUGCCUGUGGAUUUUGCUUCUAAAUUGUAACAAAAUAUUGUUCUAAGGACGAGAAAUUAUUUGUUUACAAAAGAUUAUUUGCCGUUCCAAUGCUGGAAUAUACCUAAACUUGUGGUGAAAAAAUUUUAAAUCAGCUUUUCUUUUUUUUUUUUUGCCCCCAUUGAGUUGAUGAUGACGACUGAAUCGGAGUGUCCUAGGACCGGGUUUAUUUUCAAUUAAUCAAGCCCUGCGAACCAGACUCAUAAUGGAGCCCAUUUCAAGGUCCCCUCAUCGCGAUGUGAAUGCCACUCGAAUUCGGAAAGCGAAAUGAAUAAAUGAUUGAAUGCCGGACUGUUUUCCACGAAAAUAAGUAGUUAACUAUUGACAGAGCGAGCGAGCGGAAUAUUAAUUGCCAGACGCGUCGCUUCUGCCUCUGCCACCAUAUUUCUUUUUCCCUCUGCUUCGCUUCCUUCCGUUGUCAACGCCAUUGUCUUGUAAUAAACAAGUCCUGUCGGAGUGGAGACCGAGAAGGGUGGACGUGGACGGAUCCUGGGCCAUAUUAUUGGCAGGGCAACAUAAUAAACAUAAAUCAAGUGCGCCGCCAUUGUACUCAGUUUCACUGGCUGAUUUGAUAUUGGACUGCCUGGAAUUCCAGUUCGGUAAUCGCACAGGGCAAAAAAUAUUUACUUAAGAUCUUUGGUACUAAACAUCAGAAUAUGAUAUAGUUUUUAGGAUUUAUGAAAGAAAACCUAGUAAAUUGUAUAUUAUAUUUUCGCUUAUAAUAGCAA